rnacentral:rRNA from 1 species
CCUACGGGAGGCAGCAGUGAGGAAUAUUGGUCAAUGGACGAAAGUCUGAACCAGCCAAGUAGCGUGAAGGAUGACUGCCCUAUGGGUUGUAAACUUCUUUUAUAUGGGAAUAAAGUGUUCCACGUGUGGGAGUUUGUAUGUACCAUGAGAAUAAAGAUCGGCUAAAUCCGGGCCAGCAGCCGCGGGAAUACGGAGGAUUCGAGCGUUAAUCGGGUUUAUUUGGGUUAAAGGGAGCGUAGGUGGAUAGUUAAGGUAGUUGUUAAAGUGUGGGGCUCAACCGUAAAAUUGCAGUUGAAACUGGCAGUCUUGAGUACAGUAGAGGUGGGCGGAAUGCGUGGUGUAGCGGUGAAAUGCUUAGAUAUCACGAAGAACUCCGAUUGCGAAGGCAGCUUACUAACCUGCCACUGACAUUGAGGCUCGAAAGUGUGGGGAUCAAACAGGAUUAGAUACCCUGGUAGUC